UGGGGAAUAUUGCGCAAUGGCCGAAAGGCUGACGCAGCGACGCCGCGUGGGGGAGGAAGGUCUUCGGAUUGUAAACCCCUGUUGCCCGGGACGAAUCCUGGUUUAAACCAGAUUGACGGUACCGGGUGAGGAAGCACCGGCUAACUCUGUGCCAGCAGCCGCGGUAAUACAGAGGGUGCGAGCGUUGUCCGGAAUCACUGGGCGUAAAGGGCGCGUAGGUGGCUCGCCAAGCGUGUGGUGAAAGCCCGGAGCUCAACUCCGGGUCUGCCAUGCGAACUGGCAGGCUAGAGCACGGUAGAGGCCAAUGGAAUUCCGGGUGUAGCGGUGGAAUGCGUAGAGAUCCGGAAGAACACCGGUGGCGAAGGCGGUUGGCUGGGCCGUUGCUGACACUGAUGCGCGACAGCGUGGGGAGCAAACAG
rnacentral:rRNA from 1 species